AUACGGAGGAUGCAAGCGUUAUCCGGAUUUAUUGGGUUUAAAGGGUGCGUAGGCUGUGGGGAAAGUCAGGGGUGAAAGCCCGGCGCUUAACGCCGGAACUGCCUUUGAUACUUCUCCGCUGGAAUACGGAUGCCGUGGGAGGAAUGAGUAGUGUAGCGGUGAAAUGCAUAGAUAUUACUCAGAACACCGAUUGCGAAGGCAUCUCACGAAUCCGUCAUUGACGCUGAGGCACGAAAGCGUGGGGAUCAAACAGGAUUAGAUACCCUGGUAGUCCACGCAGUAAACGAUGAUAACUAACCGUCGGCGAUACACAGUCGGUGGCCAAGCGAAAGCGAUAAGUUAUCCACCUGGGGAGUACGUUCGCAAGAAUGAAACUCAAAGGAAUUGACGGGG
rnacentral:rRNA from 1 species